CUGGCCUGUGAGAGGUCUAUAUAAUGUGUUGUGAAGGACUGGCCUGUGAGAGGUCUAUAUAAUGUGUUGUAAAGGACUGGUCUGUGAGAGGUCUAUAUAAUGUGUUGUGAAGGACUGGCCUGUGAGAGGUCUAUAUAAUGUGUUGUGAAGGACUGGCCUGUGAGAGGUCUAUAUAAUGUGUUGUAAAGGACUGGUCUGUGAGAGGUCUAUAUAAUGUGUUGUGAAGGACU